GAGUUUGAUCAUGGCUCAGAUUGAACGCUGACGGCAGGCCUUACACAUGCAAGUCGAGCGGAAACGAAGAGUGUUUACACUCUGGCGUCGAGCGGCGGACGGGUGAGUAAUGCCUAGGAAGUUGCCCAGUAGUGGGGGAUAACCAUUGGAAACGAUGGCUAAUACCGCAUACGCUUAUGCUUUAUUGCAUAAGGAAAGGAGGGGACCUUCGGGCCUUUCGCUAUUGGAUACGCCUAGGUGAGAUUAGCUAGUUGGUGAGGUAAGGGCUCACCAAGGCGACGAUCUCUAGCUGGUCUGAGAGGAUGAUCAGCCACACUGGGACUGAGACACGGCCCAGACUCCUACGGGAGGCAGCAGUGGGGAAUAUUGCACAAUGGGCGAAAGCCUGAUGCAGCCAUGCCGCGUGUGUGAAGAAGGCCUUCGGGUUGUAAAGCACUUUCACUGGCGAGGAAGGGUAUAUUGUUAAUACCAAUUUAUUUUGACGUUAACCAGAGAAGAAGCACCGGCUACUCCGUGCCAGCAGCCGCGGUAAUACGGAGGGUGCGAGCGCUAAUCGGAAUUACUGGGCGUAAAGCGCAUGCAGGUGGAUAAGUAAGUCAGAUGUGAAAGCCCGGGGCUUAACUCCGGAAAGUCAUUUGAAACUGUUUAUCUAGAGUACUGUAGAGGGGGGUAGAAUUUCA
rnacentral:rRNA from 1 species